AUCCAGCUGACGAGUACCAAAUAGGACUAAACGAGCGUCAAACUAGAU
rfam:Schistosoma haematobium scaffold1159_11, whole genome shotgun sequence.